AAACAGCUUUUCUCUUUCAGGCCUGGGCUGGAGCUGGACCCCCCAGGGGAAGGGGUGAGUUCUAAGGAGCAACCUAGAGGCUGAGCUGCCCCCUCAGCUGGCACAGCACGGACCGGGUCCCUGUCACAUCCCUUCAGGCUCCAUGAGCUGGGCAGUGCCUCGAGCUCAACCAGCCGGAGCCCUGGGGUGAUGGCUCAGCAGGGAAGGGGGAGCACAGUCUGUAUGCAGGGAUGCUGUGCUGCUGCUCCUCCUGGGAGCCCGCUGGGGUGGUACCCGAGGUGCUGGGGUCCCACCUGAAACCCUUCACUGUCGUCCGGGGCUGGAGUGUGUUGUUUGGGAGUUGGUGUCUCUGAGGUGUGCAGAAGCUGCCUGUUGUUCCCAGGGCACUCUGGCUUUGGGGUCAGGCUCCAGCCAAGCUCCUGCACUGGUCACUGAGCUCCCUGCAGAGCUGGUGUUCCAGGUGUUCCAGCUGGUGUUCCUCCUGGUGUUCCAGGAGCUGCUCAGCAUCCAGGCAGGAGGGAGAAGCAGGCUCCUGCCUGCAGCUGGAAGGGGCUGGUGCUUUCUGGGCAGCGGCUGCUGGAGCCUUGUCCUUUGGAGCAGGGCACUCACAGGAUGCUCCUGUUCCUGCAGGCUCCGGAGGACACGCUCCCUUCAAGCAGAAGCAUCCUGGCUGCCAGCUCUCCUGCACAGCACCCGGCUGCCAGCUCUCCUGCACAGCACCCAGCUGCUGCCCCACAGCAGGCAGGGACCCAUGGAGGAACCCUGGUAAAUCCCAACGGUGAAUCCCAGAACAAGGACCAGGAGCUGCUCCCCUGUGCCAGGCCCCAGGAGGAUCCCCCAUGCAUCUGGUAUGAGACCCAUGUGAGGAGGAGGCAGGAGCUGGUGUCUGGUGGGCUCAGACCUGGCCUUAAGUGAUGGGUUCCAUAGAGCUUUGGGUGCUUGUCCCCCAGCUCUCAACCCUCCUUGGCCAGACCUUGUCCCCAGGAGCUGCUCCUUGAGCCGUGUUUGGCCUGGGCAGGUCUGGCUGGGGAAGCAGACACAGGAGGUGAUUGAGAUAGUGCAGGAACAGCAGCUGUGCCCAUGGGUGGCUCCUGAGGGUGCUCUGGGAGCAGCUCCGGAAGGAAUGUGAGUGGGUCACUGACCUGUUUAUUUAUAUCCCAUGCAAGUGCUGGAAUAGCUGACCUGUUCCCUCUCAGCUUUGACCAGUGCUCCAUGUGAGAUUCCAGCUGCUCUUAGCUUUGUCCCUGCC
rnacentral:lncRNA from 14 species